GAACAGUAUGCAUUCCUUUGAUGUCUGCAGUAUCACCAUUCUUAAAGAUUCACAUGUAUAUGGCCAUAGGAGCACCUCCAUGUUUUCUAAAAAGCCUACAGAACAUAUAUUGGGUGCUUCUCCUCUUCUUUCCCUUUGUGUUCAUCACUUUGGUGGAUUACUGGAAGAAGGAGGUUCUAACUGAAAGGCUAAAUUUAAAGUAUCCAACAAAAACAUCAAAGAAGAGUUCAAUAGUCAUGUAGGACAUGAUGGCUUCCCCUUCACCUCCUGCCACAGUUGUAUAUUUCCAGAGGCCUCCCCCAGCCACGCUUCCUGUACAGCCUGUGG